AGUUAAUGAGCUUGACAAAGCAAUUGUUUUGAAAACAUUAUAUAGAAAUUAAAAUUUUCUAUUAACUU
rnacentral:tRNA from 1 species